CAGCCGCCGCGGGAAUACGUAGGGUGCAAGCGUUAAUCGGAAUUACUGGGCGUAAAGCGUGCGCAGGCGGUUUGUUAAGACAGAUGUGAAAUCCCCGGGCUCAACCUGGGAACUGCAUUUGUGACUGGCAAGCUAGAGUGUGGUAGAGGGGGGUGGAAUUCCGCGUGUAGCAGUGAAAUGCGUAGAUAUGCGGAGGAACACCGAUGGCGAAGGCAGCCCCCUGGGCCAACACUGACGCUCAUGCACGAAAGCGUGGGGAGCAAACAGGAUUAGAUACCCCAGUAGUCCCUGUCUCUUAUAC
rnacentral:rRNA from 1 species